rnacentral:tRNA from 1 species
GGGGCUGUAGCUCAGUUUGGUUAGAGCGUUCGCCUGUCACGCGAAAGGCCGCGAGUUCGAGUCUCGUCAGCCCCGCCA